AGUACCAGCUGGAGCUCUUUAUUGCUCUGACCUAUUGGAUGAUUUGCUGAAGUCUGAGAGUUUCUCCCUCCAGAGAUCCCUAAUCACUCAAAAAUUUCCAGUUGAGAUCUGAAGUUUAUUCCACUGCAGAACUCCUUUUCUGAGAGUUCUUACUUCUAACAAGGAAGAAGACUUUCCUGCUUCCGUGAUGGCAGAGAGCAGUUUUCAGCUUGUGCCCCAUCUCCAGGGUGAAAGAUAUCUCCUUCAAAGCUUUUCAGGGGCCCAACUGGAAAAUCUUAAUGUUAAUUUAAGGUCAAAAGACAUAAUUUAGAAUUUGUUUUGGACAGGCACAUAGACCAAUGGAACAGACUAGAGAACUCAGAAAUAAAAUCACACCUCUACAACCAUCUGAUCUUCAACAAAGUUGACAAAAACAAGCAAUGGGGAAGUGAUUCUCUAUUUAACAAGUGGUGCUGUGAGAACUGGCUAGCCAUAUGCAAAAAUUGAAACUGGACCCCUUCCUUACACCGUAUACAAAAAUUAACUCAAGAUGGAUUAAAGACUUAAAUGUAAAACCCGAAAUUAUAAAAACCCUAGAAGAAAAUCUAGGCAAUACCAUUCAGGACACAGACGUGGGCAAAGAUUUUACGAUGAAAUUGCCAAAAACAAAAGCAAUGGCAACAAAAGCAAAAAUUGACAAAUGGGAUUUAAUUAAACUAAAGAGCUUCUGCACAGCGAAAGAAACUAUCAUCAGAGCAAACAGGCAGAAGAAGGUGGAAGGAGCUGACUUGCUGAGUCUUCCCACCUUCAUCUUUCUCUUGUGCUGAUGCUUCCUGCCCUCGAACAUUGAACUCCAAGUUCUUCAGCUUUUGGACUCUUGGAAACUUACACCAGUAAUUUGCCAGGGGCUGUUAGGCCUUCAGCCACAGACUGAAAGCCGCAUUGUUAGCUUCCCAACUUUUGAGGUUUGGGAACUCAGACUGAACCACCACUGGCUUCUUUGCUCCUCGGCUUGCAGGCAGCCUAUCAUGGGACUUCACCUUGUGAUCGUGUGAGUCAACUCUCCUUAAUAAACUAGAAUAUUUCUCAGAAGCCUGAACAACAUAACUUCUAAGACAAAGAUUUUUUGUGUGGACCAACUCACACUCUCCUUAAUAAACUCUCCUUAAUAAACUCCUUUCAUAUAUACAUAUA
ensembl:lncRNA novel transcript